rnacentral:tRNA from 1 species
CGGGUAUAGUUUAGUGGUAAAACCUCAGCCUUCCAAGCUGAUGAUGGGAGUUCGAUUCUGCCUACC